UCUAUUUUGUUUCUUCUUUUUUAAAACAUUAAAACCUUUUAGAAAACCCUAAAUUUUUAAAAUAUCGUUCUCUUCAUUUUUUCUAAAAAAAACAGAGAGAAGGCUUUCAAAUCUCUUUCCCUUUUCAACCAAAGCCACCUUCAUCGGAGAUUCGGCACGCCCAAGCUACCAACGACGCAAGCCCGACCCUGGUUCAUGGGUGUGCACGUCUCUAACGUGGCGUGGUGGAGCGGCGCACGUUGUCGGGAGGUGGCUUUUGGUGCGUGAGGGAGGCGUGCGGCGACUGAGACCUUUAGGUAGAUUAGCGUUUUUUCAAAAAUGUUAAGGUGUUGGGCUAGAACUUUGGGCUAGGGUUAGGUAUUUGGAUUGGGUUUCGGGUUUGGGCCUAUUGUAAUUGGGUUUGAGUGUAUUUAUUUUUGCUUGUGUGUUUAGUUUUUUUUAAUGGUUUGGGCCGGGCAAUUUUGGGCCAUAAUAGAACGCUAUCGUGCGUUGAGCAAAAUCCUAGACCAUCCAACGCAUUUGCUCAUAUGAGUGAGAAGAUUUCUUUCUAACCAUUAAAAAUUAUGGUUGUGUUGGUGAUGUUUUGGUAACUUUUUAUAUAUGUAAUAUUUGGAUUGUAUAA